AACGAACGCUGGCGGCGUGCUUAACACAUGCAAGUCGAACGAGAAGUACGUAGCAAUACGUAUUGUAAAGUGGCGAACGGGUGAGUAACACGUGGGUAACCUGCCCUUGAGUUUGGGAUAACCCCGCGAAAGCGGGGCUAAUACCGAAUAAGACCACGGGGACGAAAGUUCCUGAGGUAAAAGAUGGCCUCUAUUUAUAAGCUAUCACUUGAGGAUGGGCCCGCGGCCCAUUAGCUAGUUGGUAGGGUAACGGCCUACCAAGGCGAUGAUGGGUAGCUGGUCUGAGAGGACGAUCAGCCACACUGGAACUGAGACACGGUCCAGACUCCUACGGGAGGCAGCAGUGGGGAAUAUUGCGCAAUGGGCGAAAGCCUGACGCAGCAACGCCGCGUGGGGGAUGAAGGUUCUCGGAUUGUAAACCCCUUUCGAUCGGAACGAAUCCCCUUCUGGUAAACAAUCAGGAGGGUCGACGGUACCGAGAGAAGAAGCCACGGCUAACUCUGUGCCAGCCGCCGCAGUAACAC
rnacentral:rRNA from 1 species